CAGUCGCCACGGGAAUACGUAGGGUGCAAGCGUUAAUCGGAAUUACUGGGCGUAAAGCGUGCGCAGGCGGUUAUUCAAGACAGAUGUGAAAUCCCCGGGCUCAACCUGGGAACUGCAUUUGUGACUGGAUGACUAGAGUACGGCAGAGGGGGAUGGAAUUCCGCGUGUAGCAGUGAAAUGCGUAGAUAUGCGGAGGAACACCGAUGGCGAAGGCAAUCCCCUGGGCCUGUACUGACGCUCAUGCACGAAAGCGUGGUGAGCAAACAGGAUUAGAUACCCCAGUAGUCCCUGUCUCUUAUAC
rnacentral:rRNA from 1 species